AAGAGUUCUAAUUGAUCCUGUGUAAAUUUCAUCAGGCACUCAGUCAAAGUGAUGGAAGAUGGCGAUAUGAUUCAAGUGGUGCUGAAUCAAGUACUUAUGCUGCUGCUGCAAUGGUGCUUGGCCACACUGAUUGUCCUUCAUGUUUGAUGUGUUGUAAGGAUAGCACAUCAAACACUCGCAGGAGUGGUAUCGCUGACGAAUUCAG